GACGAACCGCCCAAACGUUAUUCGGAAUUACUGGGCUUAAAGGGUGCGUAGGCGGCCAUUUAAGUCAGCGGUGAAAUUUUGCAGCUUAACUGUAACAGUGCCGUUGAUACUGUUUGGCUAGGAUUUGGUUGUAGUGUGCGGAAUGUGUGGUGUAGCGGUGAAAUGCUUAGAUAUCACACAGAACACCGAUUGCGAAGGCAGCACACUAAGUCAUUAUUGACGCUGAGGCACGAAAGUGUGGGGAGCGAACAGGAUUAGAUA
rnacentral:rRNA from 1 species